AAAAAAAAGGAGAAAGAAAGCCUGAUCUUGUUUUAACCAUCAUGCUUAUGUUAGCUCCAAGCAAUCCUAAAAAUGAUGAUAGUAUUUAAUAAGCUCAAAGUACUUGAUCGUGGUAAACUAAAUUAUCAAACAUAAGAUUUGAAGUACUCUACUUGUGGGACUGAAUUGUAGUUAUUGAGCUCCAACUCAGAUGGACUCUUGCUACAUUUUUCUGCCCAUUAUAGCACAGAAUAAGACACAGACAAAUCUAUAUUUAGCAAAUAGAUGAGAUUUAAUAGGAGAAUGAUUAUUUUCUUAAACCUUUUUUUCCUAAGAUUCAUGUAAAAAGAACUCUAGUUCAUGUUAUAUUUAUUUUGUUUUUGGUAUGUGUUCCUCCCAUUUUCUAGUAGAACUUGUGGUGGCUUGGGAGUAAAAACCAAAUGUGAACACUGCCCAGUUAAAAGCAGGAGAAAGCAUGAAUGCUAAAAACUAGAAAACUAAAUUUGGUUCUAAUGAGGCUGCUGAGAAAUUUGUUGAACAUGUUGGGAAACAACUGUUCUCAUUCUGUAACAGAAAAACAGCUACAAAUUCAUUUCCAAAAGAUGAACAUUACUUUGGGACUAAACUCAGAAAUAUCCCACAUAUAUUAUUUAUUUCACUUCCCACAUAUAUAUUUAUAUAUCCCACAUAUAUUAUUAUUUAGCUUCAUCUCUAAAGCUAGCAUUUUGUGUGGGGG
rnacentral:lncRNA from 1 species